ACUUCGGACUUAUGCAAUCGUGACGCUCAAACCUUGUCAGGACUGGAAGGUAGCAGCAAUAAGAGAUGCUUAUGGUGGGCGUAGGCUUCGGGGUCACA
rnacentral:SRP_RNA from 2 species